rnacentral:rRNA from 11 species
AAUUUAACCUCAAGGACCCUAAAGGAACUGGACCCCAUCUGAUAUCAGAAGGUAAGGAGGUCAGCCCUGGUUAAUACUUUGGUAGGAGACUGCCAACAAAUAGCUGCUGUAGGUUACAUUU